GUUCGCCUAAUAAUAUAUGAAUAACAUAGCUUGCAUGAAACUUUUGCGUACUUGGAUGGUUUGUCAUGUUCUGUUGGUAUCUUUUUGCUUAGAGGUUUACUUUCUCAAUGUUCAAUUUUCUGCAGAAUGUGAGGUUCCUUGCAAAUUUUCAUAAACGCUGCCGGAAUAAUAAUCAAGAGGAGCUCGACUCGCAUCAGCGCCAAGGAGCAGAGGAAGGUUGCGAGGGAGAUCAAAACCGCUCGAGCUUUCGGCCUCGUGCCUUUCACGACGAUGGGAACGAAAUCCUUCGUCUUUGGAAAAACAAUGGAGAAUCUUGAUGAGGAUUACGAGUAUGAGGCCUUUGAGGGGACGGGUGGUGACAUGGAAUGAGUGACACGAUCCCGAUGCCACCGAGGUUUCUGUGAGGAUUGUCCAUUCGACUUUUCGAUCUCAUCCUAGCAUGCUCCUUUGACUUCUCUUUCUUUAUGUACUUUCCAAUUUUGGGCAAGUUCAUAGCGUUGAA